GAUAAACGCUGGCGGCGUGCCUAAUACAUGCAAGUCGAGCGAACGGACGAGAAGCUUGCUUCUCUGAUGUUAGCGGCGGACGGGUGAGUAACACGUGGAUAACCUACCUAUAAGACUGGGAUAACUUCGGGAAACCGGAGCUAAUACCGGAUAAUAUUUUGAACCGCAUGGUUCAAAAGUGAAAGACGGUCUUGCUGUCACUUAUAGAUGGAUCCGCGCUGCAUUAGCUAGUUGGUAAGGUAACGGCUUACCAAGGCAACGAUGCAUAGCCGACCUGAGAGGGUGAUCGGCCACACUGGAACUGAGACACGGUCCAGACUCCUACGGGAGGCAGCAGUAGGGAAUCUUCCGCAAUGGGCGAAAGCCUGACGGAGCAACGCCGCGUGAGUGAUGAAGGUCUUCGGAUCGUAAAACUCGGUUAUUAGGGAAGAACAUAUGUGUAAGUAACUGUGCACAUCUUGACGGUACCUAAUCAGAAAGCCACGGCUAACUACGUGCCAGCAGCCGCGGUAAUACGUAGGUGGCAAGCGUUAUCCGGAAUUAUUGGGCGUAAAGCGCGCGUAGGCGGUUUUUUAAGUCUGAUGUGAAAGCCCACGGCUCAACCGUGGAGGGUCAUUGGAAACUGGAAAACUUGAGUGCAGAAGAGGAAAGUGGAAUUCCAUGUGUAGCGGUGAAAUGCGCAGAGAUAUGGAGGAACACCAGUGGCGAAGGCGACUUUCUGGUCUGUAACUGACGCUGAUGUGCGAAAGCGUGGGGAUCAAACAGGAUUAGAUACCCUGGUAGUCCACGCCGUAAACGAUGAGUGCUAAGUGUUAGGGGGUUUCCGCCCCUUAGUGCUGCAGCUAACGCAUUAAGCACUCCGCCUGGGGAGUACGACCGCAAGGUUGAAACUCAAAGGAAUUGACGGGGACCCGCACAAGCGGUGGAGCAUGUGGUUUAAUUCGAAGCAACGCGAAGAACCUUACCAAAUCUUGACAUCCUUUGACAACUCUAGAGAUAGAGCCUUCCCCUUCGGGGGACAAAGUGACAGGUGGUGCAUGGUUGUCGUCAGCUCGUGUCGUGAGAUGUUGGGUUAAGUCCCACAACGAGCGCAACCCUUAAGCUUAGUUGCCAUCAUUAAGUUGGGCACUCUAAGUUGACUGCCGGUGACAAACCGGAGGAAGGUGGGGAUGACGUCAAAUCAUCAUGCCCCUUAUGAUUUGGGCUACACACGUGCUACAAUGGACAAUACAAAGGGCAGCGAAACCGCGAGGUCAAGCAAAUCCCAUAAGGUUGUUCUCAGUUCGGAUUGUAGUCUGCAACUCGACUACAUGAAGCUGGAAUCGCUAGUAAUCGUAGAUCAGCAUGCUACGGUGAAUACGUUCCCGGGUCU
rnacentral:rRNA from 1 species